rnacentral:rRNA from 1 species
GACGAAGGAUGCAAGCGUUAUCCGGAUUCAUUGGGUUUAAAGGGAGCGUAGGUGGCCUUAUAAGUCAGUGGUGAAAUCUCUGGGCUUAACCCAGAAAUGCCAUUGAUACUGUAGGGCUUGAGUACAGUUGCUGUGGGCGGAAUAUGACAUGUAGUGGUGAAAUACAUAGAGAUGUCAUAGAACACCGAUUGCGAAGGCAGCUCACAAAACUGUAACUGACACUGAGGCUCGAAAGUGCGGGGAUCAAACAGG